CAGGUCUCCAGAGAGGUGGUCCUCUCCAUAAGCCAAAGCAUGUGUUACUGUUAGGAACUGGGAAAAAUAAAGGUUGGCCUUUUUGUUUGUUUGUUUGUUUGUUUUUUUCCCCCUUCAACACAGGGCCUCACUCUGUAGCCCAGCUGGAGUGCAGUGGCACAAUCACGGCUUGCUGCAGCCUCAACCUCCUGGGCUCAAGUGAUCCUCCUGACUCAGGCCCCUAAGUAGCUGGGACUACAGGCAAGCACUACCAAACCCAGC
rnacentral:lncRNA from 10 species